UCGAGAAUCUUCGGCAAUGAGCGCAAGCUUGACCGAGCGACGCCGCGUGCGGGAUGAAGGCCUCCGGGUUGUAAACCGCUGUCAGUGGGGAGGAAAUGCAUGGGGGUUCUCCCCCAUGUUUGACCUAUCCGCAGAGGAAGUCCGGGCUAAGUUCGUGCCAGCAGCCGCGGUAAGACGGACCGGACGAACGUUAUUCGGAAUUACUGGGCUUAAAGAGUGCGUAGGCGGCCUGGCAGGUUGGGUGUGAAAUCCCUCGGCUCAACCGAGGAACUGCGCUCAAAACCGCCGGGCUUGAGGAAGACAGGGGUGAGCGGAACUGAUGGUGGAGCGGUGAAAUGCGUUGAUAUCAUCAGGAACACCGGUGGCGAAGGCGGCUCACUGGGUCUUUUCUGACGCUGAGGCACGAAAGCUAGGGUAGCGAACGGGAUUAGAUACCCCGGUAGUCCUAGCUGUAAACGAUGAGCACUUGGUCGAGGGGACCUCCGACAUCCUCUCGGCCGGAGACGG
rnacentral:rRNA from 1 species